UGCAGUCGAACGAGAUCUUCGGAUCUAGUGGCGCACGGGUGAGUAACGCGUGGGAACCUACCUUUUAGUACGGGACAACGUUUGGAAACGAACGCUAAUACCGUAUACGCCCUCCGGGGGAAAGGUCAGCCGCUAAAAGAGGGGCCCGCGUCUGAUUAGCUUGUUGGUAAGGUAAUGGCUUACCAAGGCUACGAUCAGUAGCUGGUCUGAGAGGAUGAUCAGCCACACUGGGACUGAGACACGGCCCAGACUCCUACGGGAGGCAGCAGUGGGGAAUAUUGGACAAUGGAGGCAACUCUGAUCCAGCAAUGCCGCGUGUGUGAUGAAGGCCCUAGGGUUGUAAAGCACUUUCAACGGUGAAGAUGAUGACGGUAGCCGUAGAAGAAGCCCCGGCUAACUUCGUGCCAGCAGCCGCGGUAAUACGAAGGGGGCGAGCGUUAUUCGGAAUUAUUGGGCGUAAAGGGCUCGCAGGCUGCUUGAACAGUUAGACGUGAAAUCCCCGGGCUCAACCUGGGAACUGCGUUUAAUACUAGCAAGCUAGAGAAAUAGAGAGGAAAGUGGAACUCCCAGUGUAGAGGUGAAAUUCGUAGAUAUUGGGAAGAACACCAGUGGCGAAAGCGACUUUCUGG
rnacentral:rRNA from 1 species